CCUAAUUUUAUAUUUUUCAGCGAUGAUACUAAAUAUGGUUCCUAAAAAACUAACUGAUAGCAAAUAGUCCCAAAUUAUGAUUGAACCAUUAAAAUAAAUUAAUUAUUUUUACUUUAACAAAUUUUGGGUGGCAAAACAAAAGUUAAAUUCCUUAAGUAAAAAGAAAGAAAAAAACGUGUAAGUUAUCCAAAACACGCACGAUGGUCGCAAAUUAACCAUUUUGCAGACCUAAUCGAUCGAUCAAUUCACCAUCUACAAUGUUCAUCGAAACCCUUUAAUUCCAGCAAUUGGUGCAUUUCACGCGAAUUCUCCAAACACAGGCUGGUCGCAAAUUCAGCCCUAAUCGAUCUAUUCAUCAACAUUAUUCAUCAAAAUUCUUUAAUUUCAGCUCAAUUGGUGCGUUUAGCUCUGCCCUAAUCUCCAGUUUGCAUCUGCUAGAACUUGAUUGCUGGUGAAUAUAUUUCUAGUGGAAGUAAUGAUUGCAGAUGGUUUAUUUUGGACAAAAGAACUGGUAGAUUGAUAAAAAUGUUGCAUGGAGAUGAGGCUGGUAUUUUUCUAUGUUCUAAUAAAUUUGUUAAAUUUAUACUUUUAACUCGUGAUGCCUUGUCUAAUGUCUCAGCUCUCACCCCUUUUCAGUUGUAAAUUAUGUAUAGUGCCACCAUUAUGAUUGCAUUGUGGCUACCAGUGAAAUUGAUAACACCAUUAAGGUGAGAGAGAAAUGUCGCAAGUACUUGGGAGUGGUUGUUAGUUGUCACUAUAGGUAAUGAAAAAUUUACAUAUCCGUAUACAUGUAUCUCCAUCAGAUUAGGACUCCAACUGCUUCUGUCCCUUCCCUCGUGGCUGGUGGAGCUGCAGGUACAGAGACUCCUAACAUGUUAGAUGCAAUGGAAAUCAAUCAAGGCAGAUUGUGCCGGACUCGUAAAGCUGUCUUGUAAGACUUAACAGGCUUAUCAUUUUUACACUCAAUUAAUUUUGCAGAUGCUUUGAGACAUUAAGUAUUAUUGUACACCCAUUAAAACUCUAAUGGGGAAUUGACUAUUGAGAAGCAGACUCUGCUUAAUUUCUUAUUCGGGUGACACCAUUAUUUAUGAUCUGUCCUUUUUGUCCAAAGCCUGGGCAUGGUAGCUCAUAGCCCUUUUCCUCCUCUUCUGUUAGUAGCUACUUUAAGUUAGCUCAAACCCCAUCUUCCUCCUUUGGCCGGGGCUAUCACCUUCUUUUGCCAGAUCUUCCAAUCUUUUCAUAAUUACGUGCCAUUGUUCCCCCUCCUUAAAGGGCCGGUAACUUUCUCUGCAUUCUGGUUGCAAGUUCCCUUAGGAAAUAUAAUAAACCAUGUACAUCUUGGUGAGAUUGCAAUAUAUCUAAUACCAGAAGAAUAGACUUUCACGUUGACUGGUAGAUUCAAAAUGGAUAUUCUUCCUAUUUAUACUAUUUCUUUUAGUUUCUGAUAACUGCAAGCGAUCCAUGUUGUGUUUUCUGCAGGCCUUUGAGUUUUUGGAGUGAUUUAGGAUGCAUGAGUUUAAAGAAGGCAGCUUACAUCCAUUUGAAUGCACAAAAAUCUGAGAAUGUUAACCUGAUUCUCUUAAAUACUAGUAUAGCACGUUGUUAUUUAGCCCUUGUAAUUUUAUUUUUCAAAGGAAAAAUGUUUAGUUUGAUAUACCUGAAAGUUCCACUCUGACUUAAUUAUUGACGUGUGUGCUUUUUGAUUA